AUUUUUCGCAAUGGGGGAAACCCUGACGAAGCAACGCCGCGUGGAGGAUGAAGGCCUUCGGGUCGUAAACUCCUGUCGACCGGGACGAACGUAGUCUGGCCCAAUACGCCGGGCUAUCGACUGUACCGGUAAAGGAAGCUCCGGCUAACUCUGUGCCAGCAGCCGCGGUAAUACGAAGGGGGCAAGCGUUGUUCGGAAUUACUGGGCGUAAAGGGCGCGUAGGCGGCCGAUCAAGUCAGGCGUGAAAUUCCCGGGCUCAACCUGGGGGCUGCGCUUGAUACUGAUUGGCUUGAAUGCGGGAGAGGAUAGUGGAAUUCCCAGUGUAGAGGUGAAAUUCGUAGAUAUUGGGAAGAACACCAGUGGCGAAGGCGGCUAUCUGGACCGGUACUGACGCUGAGGUGCGAAAGCGUGGGGAGCAAAC
rnacentral:rRNA from 1 species